ACGGCUUGCAGCUCUACUGUAUCCAAAGACACCCCCUCUCAGCUCCUGCGAUGGUUCGGUCCACUUUGCUUGCUUUUUGCUCUCCUCCUAAUCCCAUCACGGCCAAACUGCAGAGCACAUUCCCAUGCAGUGGCUGCAGCUACUGGGCUUCAUGCAACAACAAACGAGGCAACAGGGAGGGGUGGUGGUGGCACUGCUACGUGCAACAAGACAAAAUUGUCUUUUCUGUAACGUGCAGAGGAAGAUUGCAGAACCUGGUGACCAUCAGACAAGCCUCAAGUCUCACCGUUCAUCCCCAUGCUGGAUUUAUGAGACAGGGAGACGG